GGGGGGAACCCUGAUGCAGCGACGCCGCGUGGGUGAAGAAGCGCCUCGGCGCGUAAAGCCCUGUCAGCAGGGAAGAAAAUGACGGUACCUGAAGAAGAAGCCCCGGCUAACUACGUGCC
rnacentral:rRNA from 1 species